ensembl:lncRNA
AAUCAUUCAAGGAUGUCAGCUGUACUCUUACUGUUCACCUAAGCCAGAUGUUUUUCUGCUCCAUCUGUUCACACUUUCUCUGCCACAAUAAGAAAAACAACUGGGGACUGUGAGGUGACAUGGGUAGCUAUCCCCUGUACCUCAUCACUCUGUUGGAUCUCUGAACAGACAUCAUCCUUAAAAUCCCAUUUGUACCAUUUGGAUCAGGUCAGGAAGAGUAAUAGCUCUAAUCUUCUUGGAGUGAUAUUAUUAAUCUUGAGCAGGUGAGCUCCAAGGUACUUUUUCUAACCUACACAUUUAGAAAGCAGGAGCUUUAGGGCUA